rnacentral:rRNA from 1 species
AUUGAACGCUGGCGGCAUGCCUUACACAUGCAAGUCGAACGGUAACAGGUCUUCGGUUGCUGACGAGUGGCGAACGGGUGAGUAAUACUUCGGAACGUGCCCAGACGUGUGGGAUAACGAGGCGAAAGCUUUGCUAAUACCUCAUACGAUCUAAGGAUGAUAGCCGGGGACCGCAAGGCCUUGCGCGUUUGGAGCGGCCGAUGGCAGAUUAGGUAGUUGGUGGGAUAAAAGCUUACCAAGCCGACGAUCUGUAGCUGGUCUGAGAGGACGACCAGCCACACUGGGACUGAGACACGGCCCAGACUCCUACGGGAGGCAGCAGUGGGGAAUUUUGGACAAUGGGCGAAAGCCUGAUCCAGCAAUGCCGCGUGCAGGAUGAAGGCCUUCGGGUUGUAAACUGCUUUUGUACGGAACGAAAAGGCUCUGGCUAAUACCUGGGGCACAUGACGGUACCGUAAGAAUAAGCACCGGCUAACUACGUG